UAACUUAUCAAAAUGAUGUUGAC
rnacentral:miRNA from 1 species